UGUCAUCUCUUAUCUCUCUGAGGAUUGUCAUGUUAGGGACCUUUUUGUUCCUGAGGCUGGAAGUCCAGAAGUCGGGGUGCUGGCAGGACGUGCUCUUCUGAAGCCUCCAGGGCAGGGCCAGCCGCAUGCCCGUCUCCUCGCUUGGGCACCUGCCAGCGGUCCCCGGCGGUCCCCGGCUCAUUGCUGCAUGGCUCCAACGUCCGCCUCUCCCACCAUGUGGCCUCCUCCUGGUGUCUCUGUGUCCAAAUCUCCCGCUCUGUCUAAGGAUAACAGUCACUGGUCAUGGGACCCAUCCUAAUCCAGGGUGACCUCGUAUUAACCUCAUCACAUCUGCAAAGACUAUUUCCAAGUCAAGCCACACUCCCAGCUGCUGGGGGCGGGACUUGAACAUAUUUUUUGUGGGGACACAAUUCCCCUCUCAGGUUUUAAGAUUUGUCUUUAUCAUUAAAGUUUUC
rnacentral:lncRNA from 10 species